GCACGUCGCUGGAAACAGCAGGACCUGCAUCGAAGCACAAAAACGCUGGAUGAUCCAGAAAUCUGCGCCAGUCACUCCUGCCACGAGACGCUGUUUUUGCAGCUUACGGUCCCGAGGGGACCUUCUGAGGUUUCCAUCAACGGCGGUUUGACAUUCUUGUGUGCACCCCAUGACUGCUCCGUGGCCGCUGGUGGUGUGCGUGCGUGUGUGUGCGCGUGCGUGCAAGCCACAGCUCUCAAGGAAUCCUCCCCCGGCCCCCCUCCACAGCUUGCCCAAGACACAGUCUCCUUCCACACGCCCAGAUUUCCCAUUAGUCUGGCCUCGGAAGACUGCAGGGCCUGGCUCUGGACGGUCCCAAACCAAGAGACCUUAUGAAAAUGUCCAGCCUGGUCAGUGCCCACCCCCCACGCCCCCCUUCCUCCCUUCCUCCCGGCAAACAGGCUCUAAGGAAGGUGGGGAGGGGAUGGUGGGCAGAGUCGGGUAAAUUUCAGCCCAGGUAUGAUGAUCCCAGCCACCGCCAGCAGGGGGCCCCCUUUCUUUUCCAUUCAACACCCCCAACCAGUUGAACCUUCCGCAUCCACAGAUUCUGAGACAGGAGGGGUGGGCGGGUGGGGGCCACAAGAGCCUAGCAAACCACUCUGGACAAACACACCCACCAAGAUGGUCUCCCAAACAGGUCGCGGGAGCAGAAGGCACAGCGCUGGGAGUACAGUCGAUGGCAUUGGAAUAGCGUUGUGUGCUGACCGUACUCGGGUGGAAAAAAUUUUUUUAAUGGAAAAACUUUAAAAAAAGAAAGAAGAAAAAAAAGCUCUUUUAGCUCAACUUCCCUUUACCGAUGGGGAAACUGAGGCCCAGAGAGGGAAAGAGGAUACCCGAUAUCACACAGCCAGCCAGCCCGGGUCUCCCGAUUCUCAGACCAACGCCGCUGGGCUAAAAGCAUCAGCUUUGGAGUCGGCCUAUCAGACUUUAAUUAAGCCUCAGUUUCCCCAUCUGUGGAAUGAGGACUGAAAGUGUACCUACUUCUGCCCGAUAGAGAACAGGUUGCCAUAGCCGGAGUGACCCGUCAGGUGCGGACCCUGAGCACGUGGGGAGAAGAGAGCCUCAGAAAGGCACGGUUCUGGAUUCACGGAGCCUCGGAUUCCAGUCCGGCUUUACCCCUUAACCAGCUUCCCCGCUUGUAACGUCUCUGGGUGUUUCCUCAGCUGCUAAGCUGACGGUGAUAACUUGUACCUUGCGAGGCCAUAUGUGACACUACCUGGCACCUGAAUCCACAAGGUGUUCACUCAAUGUUAGCACCUCCUCCUGUCUUCCGGCUCCCCAUGGCUCCCAGGCCCCAGGAGGGCUCAGAAAAUACUGGGUGACCUGACCAACAGGCUGGAUUCUGGGAAAAGGGCCUGGGGAAGGGGCCCAGGGCAGGGGGAAGGGCGGGCACAGGGCAGGGAAGGAAGCAAAAGGCCUGCAGACUUACUUAUGGCCCCGGGACGGGCCUGCCUGGGUUUAUUUUGGUUCUUCCUGUUUGAAAGCUGAGCAAGGUGACUUCAGAACAGGUAGAGAGGUUAAGCAGGCUCUUGCCCUGUCGGGAGGCACUCGGGGAAGAAGGAAAACCCAGCACCCGCUGAGCCAGGCCUAGUCAGACACGCGCUUGGCUGUGUGGCCCAAGGUCUGACCUGGGUGUAGCUCUGCUCCUCGGGGACCAAAACCUCCUCUUUCUUCUCACUGCCAGGUGAAGUGGACUGAUUGGCCAACUCAGCCAACGAGUGGCAGAAUUGGCACUUGACCCUAGCACUUUGAUAUCCAGGUCUGCGAUCUUUCCACAGUCCCCACAGCUCCUCUCUCCAAGUACAGCCUAGAAAGAGUUAGGCAGCGUGGCCUUUCCAACCUGGAAAGAUAUUCCAAACGUCUGGAAUACAGGUUCUUGAUUUCCAAUCCGGUGGCCAUGCAGACAUGACUAAUCAACCACACUCUACAGGAAUCUGGGUUGACUGGGGAUGUCUGCCACGGCACAGGAGGGAAAUGCAGAUUUGCUCUGCCUCGGGUUGGGAGGUCAGAUGCCAUCACCGAUUGAUCAGAGCUGGCGUGUUUGAGGACGGCUGGGCGAGCCCUGUCUGGGUCAAUGCAGUGCCAAUACCGAUUCCAUUUAACUCCAUUUAACCAAAAGAGAGAAGCCAGUCCAUUCGCAUCUGAGACGGUUGCACACAAACUGCCACCCGCACACUCGACGGUUUGACAGGGCAGGCUAAUUUCCCUUGUGCCUCCUGACCGGCCCCUGAGCCCCGACUGCAGAGAGGCUGUGGCUCUCGCCGCACCGCCGUGGGCUCUGUGCGGCGUGUCCACGGCCGUUUCACGGCACCCGCCAGGCAGGAUACAAGGACACUCAAGUGGACCACAGCUUCGGCUGCCCCAGGGCACCAGGAGUAUUUAAGGUGCUCAGAGCUGGGGACGGACCCCAGACGCUGCUCCCAGCACAGGCAACACCCAGUGUCUGGGAGCGGGGUGACCUGGUUGUCCCACAAGGCUCCUUGAUUGCAGCCUGCUCAUGGCGGCACCCUCCCCGGGUCUUGAGGAGGCCACCCACUCGUCAGCUGGGCUCCCCGUCCCCAACCCUGGGUGGCCCGCGGAGGCCACCAGGUUUGGAUGGGCCAGAAGGCGUUGGAAACUGCGGCCAUCCUUCCAUUACGAGAGCCUGCUCCGAGUACCCACGUUCCGUGCACCUGGCACGGGCCUUGCACUGGAUUUUCCCCUGCGUCACACGAGCGUGCGAUUCUGUCUCACAACUCGAACAGAAAACCCCGCGACCGACCCCGUUUCUCUCUCCCGCCCUCCUUCUAUCUCUUCCUCCUUUUGGAGCAAAGAUGCUUAAAAGGACCGCCUGGGCUCGUGCCUCAUUUCUCUCCUCCCACCCUCCCUGGCACCGCCUGGACUUCUCCCCCACCUGCUCUUCUCAAGGUCACCGUAACCUCCGUGCUGUGAACCCCACAGUCCUGUCUGU